rnacentral:tRNA from 1 species
UUACCUUGGCAGACUAGUGCAUUAAAUUUAGAAUUUAACUAUGUGUAAUAUACAGGUAAUA